CGACGGAAGAUCUGACUCCGCAGUUAGCGUGCUUGGGCGAGAGUAGUACUAGGAUGGGUGACCUCCUGGGAAGUCCUCGUGUUGCAUUCCC
rnacentral:rRNA from 1 species